GAGAUAGAGGCGCGCCUCGUCAUCAGUAUGCCGGUGGUUAUCAUACGGAGAUCCGGCGGAAAGGGACUGGCGCCGAAGCCGGGAAAAGAAGCGGCCGUAUCCGCGGACUUCCGGCUGGGCGGACGGAAUAAGAGCUGUCCGACUGUCGCAGGACAAUUGCGGAGCGCUAUCA
rnacentral:ncRNA from 1 species